CUUCUCUAGAUACUUCAGCAUGUAUACUGCCGUUGUAAGCAUACCUCUAAAAGAACAAGUAUGCCACUAUGACUAACCACAGCUCAUAUACAUCAGGUCAAAGUGCAGCCAAUAAGAAGGAGAUGAUGGGUUACAACUCAAAACAGAAUAUCGACUAAGAAAUUAAAAACCUUGCGAAAGUGGACUUGGCUGUAAUUAAUUUACAAGUUAAAAAUAUGAAUAAAUUCCUAAGACAUGCACACAUCGCCCGUCACUCUAUCCUAAAGGUUAGAUAAGUCGUAACAAAGUAGGUGUAAUGGAAAUUGCACCUGACAGAGUAUAGCAUAUAUAAAUGCUUUUUACUUACACUAAAAAUAAAGUUAAAUUACUUACUCUGCCCACUUCACACAACCCUACAAAUUAUCAACAAUAUAAACAACUAAAUAACAAUAAAACAAAAGUACAGAAAUGGGAAUAAAAAUAAAUAAUAGUAAAUAUUAACAACUAUACCUUGUGCAUUAUGGUUUUACAAGAAAUUAAUUAAAUAUAUAAAUCCCGAAUUCUAAAUGAGAUGUUAAACUGCUGUUAAGAACCUUAUUAAUAACUGUAGAAAAAGUUUUAAAAGACAGUUUAACAGAGGCUACAUACCAUCCGCAUAAGAAUAUAGCUGGUUUUCAACAAAUAUUAUACAUUAAAGCAUAUAAUUAAAUUAUAUUGUAAUAUUAUUGAGGAUAAGCCCAAUAAUCAAAGCAAUCUACACAUAAAAUCUAUAUUACCUAAUAGGCUUAAUAUCAGCCAACUAAAAUACUUUACCGUAAAUAAAACUGAUAAAAUAUAUAAAAUGUUAUGCCAAAGAAAGUUGAAAUAUUGGAUAAACUCACCGUCCAAAUUUAACAUGUAAAAAUAAGUAUUAAUAAAUUUUAAAAAUAACGAGCAAUGAUUAAACAAUAAAUUAAACAUAAUAACUAAUUAAGGAACUCGGCAAACAACUAUUUCGACUGUUUAACAAAAACAUUGUCUCAUGAGUAAGAUAUGAGAU
rnacentral:rRNA from 1 species